GGUCUCUUGGCGCAGUCGGUAGCGCACGGUACUAAUAUUUCCCGAGUCUGGAUGUUAGUUGUAUGCCGCGGUCGGCGGUUCGAGCCCGUCAGAGACCA